rnacentral:rRNA from 1 species
UACGGAGGAUGCGAGCGUUAUCCGGACUUAUUGGGUUUAAAGGGUGCGUAGGCGGGCUUUUAAGUCAGCGGUAAAAAUUCGGGGCUCAACCCCGUCCGGCCGUUGAAACUGGGGGCCUUGAGUGGGCGAGAAGAAGGCGGAAUGCGUGGUGUAGCGGUGAAAUGCAUAGAUAUCACGCAGAACCCCGAUUGCGAAGGCAGCAUACCGGCGCCCUACUGACGCUGAGGCACGAAAGCGUGGGUAUCGAACAGG